rnacentral:rRNA from 1 species
CCCUUCGAUGUUCUGGGCAGCACGCGCGCUACAAUGGUCUUCGCAAACGGAUGCAUUCUCGAAGGAGAAUGCCAAUCUUUGAAUCUAUGCCUUGGUCGGGACAGUUGCUUGCAAUUUUUCGACUCGAACCAGGAAUUCCUUGUAAUCGUGAUUCAUCACAUCACGAUGAAUACGUCCCUGCCCUUUGUACACACCGCCCGUCGCUCCUACCGAUCGAAGAGUUAGGUGAAUUGUUUUGAUCGAUAAGAUUUGACUAUGGUCAACUCUCGUUGUGAAAUUCUGUGAAUCUGACUGUUUAGAGGAAGGAAAAGUCGUAACA